AGAGUUUGAUCCUGGCUCAGAUUGAACGCUGGCGGCAUGCCUUACACAUGCAAGUCGAACGGCAGCACGGGGCAACCUGGUGGCGAGUGGCGAACGGGUGAGUAAUAUAUCGGAAUGUACCCUAGAGUGGGGGAUAACGUAGCGAAAGUUACGCUAAUACCGCAUACGAUCUAAGGAUGAAAGUGGGGGACCGCAAGGCCUCAUGCUCAUGGAGCAGCCGAUAUCUGAUUAGCUAGUUGGUAGGGUAAAAGCCUACCAAGGCGACGAUCAGUAGCUGGUUUGAGAGAACGACCAGCCACACUGGAACUGAGACACGGUCCAGACUCCUACGGGAGGCAGCAGUGGGGAAUUUUGGACAAUGGGCGCAAGCCUGAUCCAGCAAUGCCGCGUGAGUGAAGAAGGCCUUCGGGUUGUAAAGCUCUUUCGGCGGGGAAGAAAUUGCUUCGGCUAAUAACCGGAGUAGAUGACGGUACCCGCAUAAGAAGCACCGGCUAACUACGUGCCAGCAGCCGCGGUAAUACGUAGGGUGCGAGCGUUAAUCGGAAUUACUGGGCGUAAAGCGUGCGCAGGCGGUUGUGUAAGUCAGAUGUGAAAUCCCCGGGCUCAACCUGGGAACUGCAUUUGAGACUGCACGGCUAGAGUGUAGCAGAGGGGGGUAGAAUUCCACGUGUAGCAGUGAAAUGCGUAGAGAUGUGGAGGAAUACCGAUGGCGAAGGCAGCCCCCUGGGUUACUACUGACGCUCAUGCACGAAAGCGUGGGGAGCAAACAGGAUUAGAUACCCUGGUAGUCC
rnacentral:rRNA from 1 species